UAAUAUCCGGCCCAAACUCGACCGACCCACUCUACUUCUUCUUUCCCACUAUGCGAGAACAGGCAAAAAGGUGUGAACAACUUUCCAUUUUCUCUUCAUCUUAGCGGAGAUCACGAGUAGCAGCAGAAAAUCGCGAGAAACUAUUACACUCUUCCAAGUACUCUGCAAACCCAUAACCUUAGAAACCUAAUCGAUCAAAUUGCUGUCCCUUUUUCCCAUUUUCAAAGAUUUUCAAAAUCUCUUCUAUUUGAAAUUUUUGCUCAACGGUUUCCCCCCAAAUUCGUCCCAUCUUUCCCUAUAAAUAGCCCCUUGUCUUCAGUGAUUGAGGAGGGAGAAAAGAUUGGAUUUUGAGGCCAUAUACGAAAAAAUAGUUCACAACACGAUUGUGGAGAUUGGAUUUUAUAGUGUAAUAGUAUUCUAGAGUUUUGGGUUUGCUGUUUUGGAACUUGUAUUUUUGCCGAAAUUCCUUGUAUUGUGGUGGAUAGCUCAUCCAAGCUCGUUCGUCCCGGAACGCUGGCCGGAAAAAGUCCUAUAUGGACUCGUCUCCUUAUUCUUGCACUUCCAAGUUGAGACAUAUAGGCUCGAUCUUUGUUCCUAUUUCUCGAGUCAGACCCAUAUAUCUGAAAGCUGUUACAGGCUCUAGAGACCCAACGACUUGCUGGAAAUUAGUAGACAAAUGUUCAAAAGCCCAAGAAAUGGGCUGUAUACAUGAAGUAUACUACAUUUAUGCACUGAUAUACAGGUUCAUGGCAACAAAUGUGUGGCCAGAAGUGCAAAAAUACAGAGAUGAGAUAAACAACAGGUUUUCGGAAGCAGGAGAUACACGCAAAGAGCUUAUAUACACUAAUAUACAAUUGAUGUAUACAAAAACAGAAAUUUGGUUAAAGACUAAAAUUUGCAGCGAAAUUGGCCCCUGAAGGGGCCCAGUUUCAUCAUCUCUUUUACUCCUUUAAUUUCUUUGAUUAUGCUUUGAAUUAUUUCUUUUAACUCUAACCAUAAUUAAUUUUAAUUUACCUACUUAGAUCUCCAAAAGAGGAGUUGUUUUCUUUA